rnacentral:tRNA from 1 species
GGGUCAACGCCCGAGUGGCUCAUGGGGGCGGAUUGUAAAUCCAUUGGCAAUAUGCCGACGCUGGGUCAAAUCCAGCUUGACCCA